rnacentral:rRNA from 1 species
CUUGUGGGGUGACGGCGUGCCUAUCGAAAAAUGAGUCUGCGAGUCAGUGGCAUGUGGCGAGCAUAACCCGUGUGGGGUAUGCGUAGCGAAGGCGAGUCUUAAAAGGCGUUUAAAGUCGCGUGUCCUGGACCCGAAGCGGGAUGAUCUAGCCCUGAGCAGGUUGAAGCGCGGGUAAGACCGUGUGGAGGACCGAACCCACCUGGGUUGAAAACCGGGGGGAUGACUUGGGGCUAGGGGUGAAAGGCCAAUCAAAUUCCGUGAUAGCUGGUUCUCUCCGAAAUGCAUUUAGGUGCAGCGUCGGAUCGAUUACAUCCGGGGGGUAGAGCGACUGGAUGCUUGCGGGCCCAUAUCGGGUACCAACAGCAACCAAACUCCGAAUACCCGUGAUGCGUAUCCCGGCAGUGAGUCGGCGGGGGAUAAGCUCCGUCGUCGAAAGGGAAACAGCCCAGAUCGUCGUCUAAGGUCCCCAAGCGUGUGCUAAGUGGGAAAGGAUGUGGAGUCGCAUAGACAGCCAGGAGGUUGGCUCAGAAGCAGCCACCCUUGAAAGAGUGCGUAACAGCUCACUGGUCUAGUGGUUCCGCGCCGACAAUGUAGCGGGGCUCAAGCACACCACCGAAGACGCGGCAGUAGCUUUGCUACUGGGUAGGAGAGCGUCCCAUGCGGGGCGAAGCGGCGGCGCAAGCCCGCCGUGGACCGCAUGGGAGUGAGAAUGCAGACAUGAGUAGCGAAAGACGGGUGAAGAUCCCGUCCGCUGGACGACCAAGGGUUCCAGGGCCACGUUCAUCGUCCCUGGGUGAGUCGGGUCCUAAGGCGAGGCCGACAGGCGUAGUCGAAUGGACGAACGGGUCGAUAUUCCCGUACCGGCAUGCAACCGGCAAAACCGAAUCCGCGAGUACUAACCUCCGGGUCCGGGCUCACGUCUCCUUCGGGAGCCGGAUGCCCUGGCCUGUUGGGACCGUAACGGUAGUAGGUCAGCGCGGGAGUGACGCAGAAGGGUAGCCGGCCGCGGAGGUGGUCUUCCGUGGUCAAGCACGCAGCCCGUCCCACAGGCAAAUCCGUGGGGCGCGUGGGCGAGGUGCGAUGAUGGGCGCCGCAGGGCGCGAUAUCCGGUGAUCCCGGCUGCCGAGAAAAGCUUCGGCGUGAGGCGGCAUGCCGCCCGUACCCCAAACCGACACUGGUGGUCAGGUAGAGAAUACCAAAGCGAUCGAGCGAAUCCUGGUCAAGGAACUCGGCAAAUCACUCCCGUUCCUUCGGUUUAAGGGAGACCCCCGAUGGUGAAGCGGCUUGCCCGCGGAGCUUUUGGGGGUGGCACAGACCAGGGGGUAGCGACUGUUUACCAAAAACACAGGAGCGUGCGAAGGCGCAAGCCGCUGUAUACGCUCUGACGCCUGCCCGGUGCCGGAAGGUUAAGAGGAUCCGUCAGGCCUCGGCCGAAGCGGUGAAUUCAAGCCCCGGUAAACGGCGGUGGUAACUAUAACCAUCCUAAGGUAGCGAAAUUCCUUGUCGGGUAAGUUCCGACCUGCACGAAUGGCGUAACGACUUCCCCACUGUCUCGACCAGGAGCUCGGCGAAAUUGCAGUACGAGUAAAGAUGCUCGUUAAGCGCAGAAGGACGAAAAGACCCCGGGACCUUUACUAUACCUUGGUAUUGGCAUUCGGUGUGGAUUGUGUAGCAUAGGCGGAAGGCUUCGAAGCCACGGCGCCAGCCGCGGUGGAGCCGCAAGGUGAAAUACCGCUCUGUUCGCAUUGGAUGUCUAACCUCGACCAGUCAUCCUGGUCAGGGACAGUGCCUGGCGGGUAGUUUAACUGGGGCGGUUGCC